rnacentral:rRNA from 1 species
AUAGGUCAAGCUAAAAAGAGCACAAGGAGGAUGCCUUGGCACCAGGAGCCGAUGAAGGACGUGAUAAGCUGCGAAAAGCUGCGGGGAGUGGCAAAUACACAUUGAUCCGCAGAUGUCCGAAUGGGGAAACCUGACCGGAGUCAUAACCGGUCAUCAUUACAUGAACAAAAUAGUGUAAUGACGGGAACCGCCUGAACUGAAACAUCUAAGUAGGGCGAGGAAGAGAAAUCAAACGAGAUUGCGAAAGUAGUGGCGAGCGAAAUUGCAAGAGGCCAAACCGGAGGUAGAAAUACCUUCGGGGUUGAGGACAGACGCACGGCAUGUUAAGCCUAGCGGAAGUGCAUGGGAAGGCACACCAUAGGGAGUGAAAGUCUUGUACGCAAAAGGCAGGACAUGCCAGUCUGAAUCCAGAGUACCACGGGACACGAGGAAUCGCCGUGGGAAGCAGGGGGGACCACCCUCCAAGCCUAAAUACUAACUGGUGACCGAUAGAGGAGUAGUACCGUGAGGGAAAGGUGAAAAGAACCCCGGAAGGGGAGUGAAAAGAACCUGAAACCUUGUGUUUACAAGCACACAAAGAGCGUUAAGGCUCGAUGUGGUACUUUUUGUAGAACGGUCCGGCGAGUUUAUGUAAGUAGCAAGGUUAAGUGUUUGAAGGCACGAAGCCGGAGGGAAACCGAGUCUGAAAAGGGCGUAUAGUUACUUGUAUAAGACCCGAAACCGGGUGACCUACCCAUGAGCAGGGUGAAGUGGAGGUAAAACUCCAUGGAGGCCCGAACCGACCCCCGUUGAAAAGGUGGCGGAUGACUUGUGGGUAGCGGAGAAAUUCCAAUCGAACUCGGAGAUAGCUGGUUCUCAUCGAAAUAGCUUUAGGGCUAGCCUUGAUAGAGAUUAGCGGAGGUAAAGCACUGAAUGGGCUAGGGGCCGACAAGGCUACUGAACCCUAUCAAACUCUGAAUGCCGUAUAAUUGAUUAUCAGGAGUCAGACUGCGUGAGAUAAGUUUCGUAGUCAAAAGGGAAACAGCCCAGAUCCACAGCUAAGGUCCCCAAUAUACGUUAAGUGUAAAAGGAUGUGGAAUUGUAAAAACAAUCAGGAUGUUGGCUUAGAAGCAGCCACACAUUUAAAGAGUGCGUAAUAGCUCACUGAUCGAAUGAUUCUGCGCCGAAAAUGUAACGGGGCUAAACGUAUAACCGAAGCUUGGGCAUGUACAAUAGUACAUGGGUAGAUGAGCGUCGUAUUGUAGGGUGAAGCAUGAGCGUAAGCACAUGUGGACGAGAUACGAGUGAGAAUGCCGGAAUGAGUAGCGAGAAUUAUGUGAGAAUCAUAAUGGCCGAAAAUCUAAGGUUUCUAGAGGAAGGUUCGUCCGCUCUAGGUAAGCCGGAAGCUAAGGCGAGGCCGAAAGGCGUAGUCGAUGCACAUACGGUAGAAAUUCCGUAGCCACCGAAAUUGUUAAGCAAGGGGACACUCGAAGAUAGUCUAACCCGGGCGUUGGUUGACCCGGGCGAAAGGGACCGAAAUUAGAGUAGGGAAGUAGACGAUGCUUUGAGGCGAGAAAAGCCUUGUGUAUUGAUUAGGUGUCCGUACCGCAAACCGACACAGGUAGAUGAGGAGAGAAUCCUAAGGCCAGCGGGAGAAGGGUUGUUAAGGAACUCGGCAAGUUGACCCCGUAACUUCGGGAGAAGGGGUGCCGGCGCAAGCCGGCCGCAGAGAAUAGGCCCAGGCGACUGUUUAGCAAAAACACAGGUCUCUGCUAAAUCGAAAGAUGACGUAUAGGGGCUGACGCCUGCCCGGUGCUGGAAGGUUAAGAGGAGAGGUAAGCGCAAGCGAAGCUUUGAAUUGAAGCCCCAGUAAACGGCGGCCGUAACUAUAACGGUCCUAAGGUAGCGAAAUUCCUUGUCAGGUAAGUUCUGACCCGCACGAAUGGCGUAA